rnacentral:rRNA from 1 species
CCUACGGGAGGCAGCAGUGAGGAAUAUUGGUCAAUGGACGAGAGCCUGAACCAGCCAAGUAGCGUGAAGGAUGACUGCCCUAUGGGUUGUAAACUCCUUUUAUAUGGGAAUAAAAUGUUCCACGUGUGGGAUUUUGUAUGUACCAUAUGAAUAAGGAUCGGCUAACUCCGUGCCAGCAGCCGCGGUAAUACGGAGGAUCCGAGCGUUAUCCGGAUUUAUUGGGUUUAAAGGGAGCGUAGGUGGAUUGUUAAGUCAGUUGUGAAAGUUUGCGGCUCAACCGUAAAAUUGCAGUUGAAACUGGCAGUCUUGAGUACAGUAGAGGUGGGCGGAAUUCGUGGUGUAGCGGUGAAAUGCUUAGAUAUCACGAAGAACUCCGAUUGCGAAGGCAGCUCACUGGACUGCAACUGACACUGAGGCUCGAAAGUGUGGGUAUCAAACAGGAUUAGAUACCCGAGUAGUC